rnacentral:rRNA from 1 species
AUUGAACGCUGGCGGCAUGCCUUACACAUGCAAGUCGAACGGUAACAGGUCUUUCGGGAUGCUGACGAGUGGCGAACGGGUGAGUAAUACAUCGGAACGUGCCUAGUAGUGGGGGAUAACUACUCGAAAGAGUGGCUAAUACCGCAUGUGAUCUAUGGAUGAAAGCAGGGGACCUUCGGGCCUUGUGCUACUAGAGCGGCCGAUGGCAGAUUAGGUAGUUGGGGGGAUAAAAGCUUACCAAGCCUACGAUCUGUAGCUGGUCUGAGAGGACGAUCAGCCACACUGGGACUGAGACACGGCCCAGACUCCUACGGGAGGCAGCAGUGGGGAAUUUUGGACAAUGGGCGCAAGCCUGAUCCAGCAAUGCCGCGUGCAGGAUGAAGGCCUUCGGGUUGUAAACUGCUUUUGUACGGAACGAAAAGUCUUGGGUUAAUACCCUGGGAUCAUGACGGUACCGUAAGAAUAAGCACCGGCUAACUACGUGCCAGCCGCCGCUGUAAAAC